AGUGAACGCUGGCGGUAGGCCUAACACAUGCAAGUCGAACGGCAGCACAGUAAGAGCUUGCUCUUACGGGUGGCGAGUGGCGGACGGGUGAGGAAUACAUCGGAAUCUACUUUUUCGUGGGGAUAACGUAGGGAAACUUACGCUAAUACCGCAUACGACCUACGGGUGAAAGCAGGGGAUCUUCGGACCUUGCGCGAUUGAAUGAGCCGAUGUCGGAUUAGCUAGUUGGCGGGGUAAAGGCCCACCAAGGCGACGACCCGUAGCUGGUCUGAGAGGAUGAUCAGCCACACUGGAACUGAGACACGGUCCAGACUCCUACGGGAGGCAGCAGUGGGGAAUAUUGGACAAUGGGCGCAAGCCUGAUCCAGCCAUACCGCGUGGGUGAAGAAGGCCUUCGGGUUGUAAAGCCCUUUUGUUGGGAAAGAAAAGCAGCAGGUUAAUACCCCGCUGUUCUGACGGUACCCAAAGAAUAAGCACCGGCUAACUUCGUG
rnacentral:rRNA from 1 species